GACUCGGUGGUGUAGUGGUAACACGCGUCCCCGGUAUAGAUGAAACGUGGGUUCGGCUCCCGUCUGAGUUCG